AUUGAACGCUGGCGGCAUGCCUUACACACGCAAGUCGAACGGUAACGGGCCUUCGGGUGCCGACGAGUGGCGAACGGGUGAGUAAUGUAUCGGAACGUACCUUUCAGUGGGGGAUAACGUAGCGAAAGUUACGCUAAUACCGCAUAUUCUGUGCGCAGGAAAGCAGGGGAUCGCAAGACCUUGCGCUGAUUGAGCGGCCGAUAUCAGAUUAGCUAGUUGGUGAGGUAAAGGCUCACCAAGGCGACGAUCUGUAGCGGGUCUGAGAGGAUGAUCCGCCACACUGGAACUGAGACACGGUCCAGACUCCUACGGGAGGCAGCAGUGGGGAAUUUUGGACAAUGGGGGCAACCCUGAUCCAGCCAUGCCGCGUGAGUGAAGAAGGCCUUCGGGUUGUAAAGCUCUUUCGGCCGGGAAGAAAUCGUAUCAGCUAAUACCUGGUGCGGAUGACGGUACCGGCAUAAGAAGCACCGGCUAACUACGUGCCAGCAGCCGCAGUAAAAC
rnacentral:rRNA from 1 species